UACGUAGGGCGCAAGCGUUAUCCGGAAUUAUUGGGCGUAAAGAGCUCGUAGGCGGUUUGUCGCGUCUGCCGUGAAAGUCCGGGGCUCAACUCCGGAUCUGCGGUGGGUACGGGCAGACUAGAGUGAUGUAGGGGAGACUGGAAUUCCUGGUGUAGCGGUGAAAUGCGCAGAUAUCAGGAGGAACACCGAUGGCGAAGGCAGGUCUCUGGGCAAUUCCUGACGCUGAGGCGCGAAAGCGUGGGGAGCGAACAGG
rnacentral:rRNA from 1 species